GGGUAUGCGCAUAAAUAUUUGCAUGGCAAGUAUUCGCACGUAUGUACAUACAUAUUUAAGUCAAAUGUAUUUAUGCACACAUUGGGGGAAAAUAGCCAAUUUCAGAUUACGCAAGCUGUGAUUUGUUUUUCAUAUUUAGGUUUUCACAUACAGACAUAUGUACAUACUUUUGCAUAUAUAUAUAUGAAUGUACAUAUACAAGCAAACGUGCGCACAUCGCAUUACGGCAACACUUGGCAGCAUAUUUAAACAAAUUUAAUAAUAUUACAGCCAAGUGUUUGCAACUAUUCACGACUCUGGUAUAAAUAUAUUGGUGUAUAUUUAUACAAACUAAUAAGAAAAAUGGCGGACUUAGAUGCGCACGCAAAAUAAAAUUUUGAUUGUACAGCGUCGUUUUUGUUUGUAUGCAUACUUACACACAGGCGUACUUUUAGUGCAUUAGUUACUUAUUACCUAAAACAAAGCGACCCAAUGAAAAUAUGUAAAGCAUAUGUAUAUACGCACAUAUGUACGUAUGAAUUCAUCAUGUACACAGCCAUCCGAGACUUUCAAAAAUUUCCACUGCAGCAAAGAGCCCUGUCAGGUGCCGAAAUAUCCGGGCAAUGGUUAAAGCUUCUUUUGUGCGAAUGCAUGCAUUGUAUUUAUUAAAUAUACCACCGAUGGCGGGAAAAGUAAAGAGAAACCUUACCGGCCAUGGAGGGCUAUCAGAAAAAGACGUCUUUGGAAAUCUACAGCCAAACCGCGAUUUGGUUUUAAAAAGCUUUGUAAAAAUUUUGUAACAUUAUUUAAGAGUUGUAUAAUAAAGAUCUUUCUACCAAA